UCGUUGGUUAGUUCAUGUUGAAAAAAAUCAAAAUUUCCCUCGAAAAAUCAAUCAGAUUCCAUUGAUAUUUUUCUCUCCAUGGCUCUGCAGAUCUGCUCUGCCAAGAAUCAUAAAGAGUGAUAGAUAAGUGGGUUGUGUGGUCCAUUGCAAAAAUGGUGCCUUUUGUGCAAGUGAUGUAGUGGUCCAUGGAGCAAAAGCCUAAUUUGGAGCGCAAAGGGAACAUAUGUGUGGAAGACAUGGAAGGAUGAAUGGAUGUGGGCUAUAAAGACAAACUCAUCAAAGAAAAACCCAAAACACAACAGUACAGUUCAUGCAGAAGACCAAUUGAUAUGACUUCCUUUACUCUCCCAUCUUUUCAAUCAAUCUUCUUAACCCCUCCUUUCUCUUUUCCCACCAUUCUUCAUCAUCAUCCUAAUCAUCUUGUCAUUUACCUUAUAAAAACUCUCCCUAAACUCUCCCUCUUCCUUUACUUUCUUUUUUUAAAAAAAAAAAAAAUCUAAAUUCUUUCAUGUGUAACUUUUAAAAACAACUACUAUUGAAAUCAAAAUUCUUUAGCUUUUUUAUUCAAUGGAAAAUGAAAAUUUGGAUUGUCAUCCAUUCUAGGCGACAACCAUCUCCUUCUAGUUCUCGAGAAUAGUAGUUUUGAAACGUGUAUAAAAAGGCAAGUGUUUUUGUUUAUCAUGUAGACUAGAUUUUUCACAGCACACAAAGGCUUGUAAUUAAAUAUUGUACUCUACUGAGGCUUUUCUCCUUUAGGUGUGUGUAGGGAAUGAGAUAGGGAAGUAUAGGGUUUUGUAGCCUUUUGAUUUAAAUUUCUAAUCCAUACCAUGAGACAAGUGCCGGCUCAAAAGCAAAUAUAUAAACAGUCCUACACCGAAAAGGGUACCUUCUUCCUUUCUAUUCUAUACAUAAACGUUAUGUCAAAUAUGGAUAAGGGCCACAGGUUUUUCUUUGUGGGGGCACUCUCAUUCCCACUAGUCAACACCAUUUUCACGCGCAAUUCCAACCCAAACCUAUGACACAAAAACACUUACCCUCCCUCCAAUUCAUUCAUUCCAUCCAUCUAUUUUUUUCCAUUGCCAUAUCCUUUUAUCCAAAAACUUCUACCACCAUGUUUCUUUUCUUCUAGUUUUGAUUGAUAGACAUACGUUCAAUCUAUGUAUAUUUUAAUAUUUUACAAUAAAGUUUCAUUUUUCAUCUUUUGAUAUAUGUCAGUUCGAAUGACACCAAUUAUUCUUCACACUCUUUAAACUAGAGAUGAAACAAAGUUCAAUCUAUGGUUGUCACUCAUCUAGAUUUAAAUUUCUUGUAAAUUUUAUUUACAUUUCCUGUUUCAAAAGACAUCAGUUAUUCUUCAUGCUCUUUGAACUAGAGAAGAAAUGGUAAAAUAGAAGGCUUUGGAUGGAAUAAUAUUUCAAUCCAUUGAAUAUAUAUUGUAUAAUAAUCUUACAAGUCCACACACUAGUUAUUCAUAUGUAUAUGUGUUGUAACAAACAUAGAUCUACAUUUGUGAGGGUGAGGGCCACGAAGAAAGGAGAAAAGCUUGGGAGAGCUUUGGUUUGGUCAAAGUUGAAAAGAAAGGAUUAUCAAUAAUAAUGCAAUGGUUGAAUAUUGAUGAGAUGUGAAUUCAAAGAAGUGUGCUUUGAAGCAUUGGUGAGAGCCCCUUGGCGAUAUCUUUUCUAAAAAGGUCUCUUCCAUAUGAAAUGCUACCCCACUUCUUGUCCUUGCAAAAUUAUGACACUUAAGAAAAACCAAAUCUAUACGUUCUUCUUUCAUAUUUAUCCAUGCUUGUGUGACUCUUAUAGUUACCAUAUUUUCCUCUCCAUUUUCUUUUUUCUAUUACUUCCAAUUUUGAGUCAUUUAAUUUCUAUCAAGUUUGAAAACAUAGUUAAAUGAUC